rnacentral:miRNA from 1 species
UGUUCUCCUGCUUGACUUUCUG